rnacentral:lncRNA from 1 species
CUGAAAAGGGAAAAACUCUAGGGGAAGACUCAUUCCAUGAGAUACCCUAAAGUUCCAAAAUUCUGCUAAAUAGAUGCAUCCAACAUCACUCCUUCUGUUUCAGUUUCAGCUUGAGCUUGUCAUCUACCUCCUAAGUGGAGGGAAGAGCAGAUGGGGCCAUACAACUAUGAAUUGAGCCUUGGGGUUUUUGCCACAGCAGUGUGAAAAAUAACUUACCCAAAAUGUUGCAUAGAAGAGGAAAAUGGCAAAACGAGCUGGAGAAACCAAAGGUGAGAAAACUUUUAGGAUUAGUAAAUCUACCUUAAGUAAGUGAGUUAUUAUAAUUU